rnacentral:rRNA from 1 species
AUACGUAGGUGACAAGCGUUAUCCGGAUUUACUGGGCGUAAAGGGCGUGUAGGCGGUCUUGCAAGUCAGAAGUGAAAUUCCUGAGCUCAACUCGGGCGCUGCUUCUGAAACUGCAGGACUUGAGUGCUGGAGGGGAUAGCGGAAUUCCUAGUGGAGCGGGAAAAUGCGCAGAUAUUAGGAAGAACACCGGUGGCGAAGGCGGCUAUCUGGACAGUAACUGACGCUGAGGCGCGAAAGCGUGGGGAGCAAACAGGAUUAGAUACCCUGGUAGUCCACACUGUAAACGAUGAAUGCUAGGUGUAGGAGGUAUCGACCCCUUCUGUGCCGCAGUAAACACAGUAAGCAUUCCGCCUGGGGAGUACGGUCGCAAGAUUAAAACUCAAAGGAAUUGACGGGG